rnacentral:rRNA from 1 species
UACGUAGGGGGCAAGCGUUAUCCGGAAUCAUUGGGCGUAAAGAGUGCGUAGGUGGUUUCUUAAGCGUGGGGUUUAAGGCUACGGCUUAACCGUAGUUCGCCCCAUGAACUGGGAGACUUGAGUGCAGGAGGGGAAAGUGGAAUUCCUAGUGUAGCGGUGAAAUGCGUAGAUAUUAGGAGGAACACCAGUGGCGAAGGCGACUUUCUGGACUGUAACUGACACUGAGGCACGAAAGCGUGGGGAGCAAACAGGAUUAGAUACCCUGGUAGUCCCUGAGCGGGCU